CCCAGACUCCUACGGGAGGCAGCAGUGGGGGAUAUUGCACAAUGGGGGGAACCCUGAUGCAGCGACGCCGCGUGGGUGAAGGAGCGUUUCGGCGCGUAAAGCCCUCUCGGCAGGGAAGAAGGAGGACGGUACCUGACUAAGAAGCCCCGGCUAACUACGUGCCAGCAGCCGCGGUAAUACGUAGGGGGCAAGCGUUAUCCGGAUUUACUGGGUGUAAAGGGGGCGCAGACGGCAGCGCAAACCAGGAGUGAAAGCCCGGGGCCCAACCCCGGGACUGCUCUUGGAACUGCGCGGCUGGAGUGCAGGAGGGGCAGGCGGAAUUCCUGGUGUAGCGGUGAAAUGCGUAGAUAUCAGGAGGAACACCGGUGGCGAAGGCGGCCUGCUGGACUGCGACUGACGUUGAGGCCCGAAAGCGUGGGGAGCAAACAGGAUUAGAUACCCCGGUAUU
rnacentral:rRNA from 1 species